AUGAACGCUGGCGGCGUGCCUAAUCCAUGCAAGUCGAGCGAACAGACGAGGAGCUUGCUCCUCUGACGUUGGCGGCGGACGGGUGAGUAACACGUGGAUAACCUACCUAUAAGACUGGGAUAACUUCGGGAAACCGGAGCUAAUACCGGAUAAUAUAUUGAACCGCAUGGUUCAAUAGUGAAAGACGGUUUUGCUGUCACUUAUAGAUGGAUCCGCGCCGCAUUAGCUAGUUGGUAAGGUAACGGCUUACCAAGGCGACGAUGCGUAGCCGACCUGAGAGGGUGAUCGGCCACACUGGAACUGAGACACGGUCCAGACUCCUACGGGAGGCAGCAGUAGGGAAUCUUCCGCAAUGGGCGAAAGCCUGACGGAGCAACGCCGCGUGAGUGAUGAAGGUCUUCGGAUCGUAAAACUCUGUUAUUAGGGAAGAACAAAUGUGUAAGUAACUAUGCACGUCUUGACGGUACCUAAUCAGAAAGCCACGGCUAACUACGUG
rnacentral:rRNA from 1 species